rnacentral:rRNA from 1 species
GACGAACGCUGGCGGCGUGCUUAACACAUGCAAGUCGAACGGAAAGGCCCUUUUGGGGGUACUCGAGUGGCGAACGGGUGCGUAACACGUGAGUAACCUGCCCUUGACAUUGGGAUAACUUCAGGAAAGUGGGGAUACUAACGCUUAUGCAUCAUUGCUGCUAGGUGUGGGUUCGAAAGCUUUGUGGGUGUUGGACGGACUCGCGGGCUAUCAGCUGGUUAGUGGGGUAGUGGGUUACAAAGGCUCUGACGGGUCGCCGGACUGCGGGGGCGACCGGCGACACUGGGACUGAGAUGCGGCCCAGACGCCGACGAGAGGCAGCAGUGGGGAAUAUUGCACAAUGCGCGGAGGCCUGAUGCAGCAACGCCUCGGGCGGGAAGACCGCCUUCGUGUUGUAGACCGGUUGCAGCAGGGGCGAAGCUUGUGGUGACGGUACCUACAGAAGAAGCACCGGCUAACUACGUG